rnacentral:rRNA from 1 species
GGGGGGCUGCUAUACAUGCAAGUCGAGCGAACAGAUGAAGUGCUUGCACUUCUGACGUUAGCGGCGAACGGGUGAGUAACACGUAAGGAAUCUACCUAUAAGCGGGGGAUAACAUUCGGAAACGGGUGCUAAUACCGCAUAAUAUCUUCUUCCGCAUGGAAGAAGAUUGAAAGACGGCUCUGCUGUCACUUAUAGAUGACCUUGCGGUGCAUUAGUUAGUUGGUGGGGUAACGGCCUACCAAGACGAUGAUGCAUAGCCGACCUGAGAGGGUGAUCGGCCACAUUGGGACUGAGACACGGCCCAAACUCCUACGGGAGGCAGCAGUAGGGAAUCUUCCGCAAUGGGCGAAAGCCUGACGGAGCAAUGCCGCGUGAGUGAAGAAGGCCUUCGGGUCGUAAAACUCUGUUAUAAGAGAAGAACAAAUUGUAGAGUAACUGCUACAGUCUUGACGGUAUCUUAUCAGAAAGCCACGGCUAACUACGUGCCAGCAGCCGCGGUAAUACGUAGGUGGCAAGCGUUGUCCGGAUUUAUUGGGCGUAAAGGGAGCGCAGGUGGUUUCUUAAGUCUGAUGUGAAAGCCCACGGCUUAACCGUGGAGGGUCAUUGGAAACUGGGAAACUUGAGUACAGAAGAGGAAUGUGGAACUCCAUGUGUAGCGGUGGAAUGCGUAGAUAUAUGGAAGAACACCAGUGGCGAAGGCGACAUUCUGGUCUGUUACUGACACUGAGGCUCGAAAGCGUGGGGAGCAAACAGGAUUAGAUACCCUGGUAGUCCACGCCGUAAACGAUGAGUGCUAGGUGUUGGAGGGUUUCCGCCCUUCAGUGCCGCAGUUAACGCAUUAAGCACUCCGCCUGGGGAGUACGACCGCAAGGUUGAAACUCAAAAGAAUUGACAGGGACCCGCACAAGCGGUGGAGCAUGUGGUUUAAUUCGAAGCAACGCGAAGAACCUUACCAAGUCUUGACAUCCUUUGACCACCCUAGAGAUAGGGCUUUCCCUUUCGGGACAAGUGACAGUGGUGCAUGGGUUGUCGUCAGCUCGUGU